UCUAAGAGUGGCAGAAAAGUGCCAUGAACUUAAAAUUCAUUCAUAAAUUAAUUUCCUUAGAA
rnacentral:tRNA from 1 species